rnacentral:lncRNA from 11 species
UUGAGAUUUUAACUGACAAUUAUUCCCCUGCCUUCCUUGAUUACUCAAGUAUUAUUUCCUUCAUUGUGCUUAGCAACGCCUAAUCUAUUAACUCGUAGUAGGAACAUAAAGUUAAGCUUGCUUUGAAAAGACAUUUUAACUGUUUUGUCUAUACUAUGAUCUUUUAUUGGCACAUGCAAAGACCCUAAGGUUGUAAAUGGCUCUUUGAGCAUUUUUUCUAUCUGCUAUUCUGGCUUAGGGUAUUGAAUUUAGACUUAAUCAAGGUUCAAGUCACACAAGGUGAGCUCUUCCAUACUAUGUUUAUUGAGGAUCAAGUGGAAAAGAAGAAAGCUAGGCACAUCAUCUUGACUUAAGCGAAGGAAUUAUAUAAAUGGAAUUAAUAAAUUAGUAGUUGAAAGCAAAACGGAUUAGCUCCCAAUAAAAAUAACUUUUGCAUAUGUUCUUUUCCAAAUUUUGACGGUCAUGGAUGACGUUCUUCAUGUGGACAACCAGAGUGGGGUCGUGGUUUAAUUUUGUCCUCUUCUUUCAAUACAUUAACAGCUGUGCAGCGCUUAGCACAAAGCCAUUUGGAAUCAAACCGUUCCUGGAUGGAAGAAGAGUAUGCUGAGGAAGAGGAAGAAGAGGAGGAGGAAGAGGAGGAAGAAGAGGAAGAAGAAGCUCAGGACUCGGAUGACACCGUGAGGGAGAUGCCUGGACUGUUGUCCCAGGGGCAGAAGCAGCUGGGCACGGCUUCCAAGACAGGCUUGCUCAGGCAAUGCACUGUCUUGGAAAAUAAGCCUAAAGAAUCUGAGCGUCCUGUCUAUCCGUCUCUCUCCAAAUCACAGAAACGGAAAGGUGGGCAGAAAGUAUCUUUUGCUGGAUCUGUGGAGGAGGUCCCCAAUGAAUCGGAGAAAGAAGAAACUUUAGCCGAGGAAGAAGAAUCCCAGGAGCAGCAGAACCAAGCAGCAGCAGUGGAAGGGGAACAAGGAGACCCACCAAUGGCAGAUCAUGUCAUGGAAGUGAGCCACUCCAGUUGGGAAGAGAGACCUCCUCAUGCUGUUAACCUGGAAAACCGUUCCUCCCCUCCUCCGAUCCAUACUACCACCUAGCACAAGAAGCGAAGGGUUGAGCUGGGAGCUGUCCUCUUGAUGGAGAACUCUCAUUUUUCACCAAGCCACAUCAGAUUGUUUCCUUUAACAACUAUUUUUCUCUUUUACCCUACUUUCUGUUCCAAAUUUGUCUUUCUUUUGGCAGUGUUUGGUUUGUGUUCAGUGAAUUAUUUAGUAGAGAGAAAGGGAGGAACGAGGGAAAGGAAGACUGGUGGGUGGAGAAGCUUGGAAGAAAACCUCUAUACUCAGAGAUAGACUGUCUCUGAUGGCCAUGAGCUGAAGACAGGUGGUCGAGAUGGCUGCAUCUACUAUGCCUUGCUUGUAUGAAUCCCAGAAGGGCCCUUCAAGUUCAUCACUAUGUGAAGAGCUUGACCUAAAUCAGAGUAGCAUUGCUGGAUUGGAUAUGGGGUGGUUUUUAGAGAGAACCAAUACCUUUGUGCAGUUUGACUGAGUUUACUGGGUUGCUGUGAGUCUUUUGGGCUGUAUGGCCAUGUUCCAGAAGCUUUCUCACCUGACCUUUCACCCACAUCUGUGGCAUUUGAGGAUGCCUGCCACAGAUGUGGGCAAAACAUCAGGAGUGAAAGCUUCUGGAAUAUGACCAUACAGCCUGAAAGACUCACAGCAACUCAGUGAUUCUGGCCAUGAAAGCCUUUGCCAAUAAAUUGACUGAGUUCAUCCUGCUCCAUGAGCUCAUCAGGUUUAAAGGUACAAUUUACAUCUUUAAUUGGCCAAUACAUUGCUGAAAUUGAAUUGUCCUUGGGUUUUUUAAAGGCAUCUUUUCAAUUUAGCAGUGGCAUUAAAGAGUUGUGAAAUAGGAUGCACAGGGAGUACUCAAAUUAUUCUAAAGCAAAAUCAUGCUAAGAAAAAAAUACACAUCCCCAUAUGUUUUGUAUUAAGAGAUAUAUUAUGCUUUUACGUGGGUCAUGGGGGCAAAGUUUCUAUGUUGCUGAAUUUUGGUUGUAGCACCAAGAUCUGCAGAAGAUGGCCACCUAUCAUCCAAUAGAGAUAUUAGUUUUUAACAGCUCCUUUUAUCCAUUGAGAUCUGAGAUUUUGCCACAGUGCUACUUGAGACCAGUGGAUACAUUCUCAUACACAUAAUUUAGAUGCUAACAUUCCUCCAAAACAGUUGUACUGCUACCAACAAAAGAUGUCUUUUGGAUGUCAUGGAGUGUGAAAUAGGAUAGAAGUGGUGGGAAAAGAAAGAAGAGCAUUAAUAUCAGAGGUCAUUGUCUCAAUCUUUGGUAAAACUCUGUGAAUGAGGCAAGGAAAUGGCACAAUAAAAGCUUCAUAUGGAACCAUUUCUGGCCUGAAGGCAUUAGAAUUGGGAGAGAUGCAUUUUGAGAAAGCACGUCGUUCCAGUAACCGGCAACUUGAGACACAGAUUGAUAAGUUGGAAGAAAGCUCUGCGUGGUCCGUUUCUCUCUUGUAUUCUCCCAGAUGUUAUGUUCCUCUCCUUGAAAGCUGAAAAUCAGGAUCCAAUCAAUCUGUACAGUCCAAGUUGUUAUUCUCUAAGCCCUUUGACUUCCUACCCACCCCACCCUUCUUCCUGUGUAUUGGAAAAUGCCUCUUCAUGUGCCUCUCUGCUCUAUUAAAGCUUUGUAAAUAAAAACAGUGUUUAAAGUGUGUUUUAUGGAAGUGUAGGUUGGCCACAUCAUGAUGUAAGCCAGCUUGUCCUUAUCAUGUCAGCUAAGAUUUAUGUAAUCCUGUGGCACUGAUUUAUUUUUUGGUAGAUUAUCCAAGAAUGCAUGAACACAGAUGUGAAAGCAUAUGAGUAGGAGGCAUGGUCACUAAUUACUCCCAAUUGACGGGUUACAGUUCUCACCCUUUUGCAUGUUCAUUAGAAGCUUAACUCUGGGCACCAAAAAGUAACCCAGCUAAACCAGUUCUCAAAUGUCUCUAUCAAGAUAUUGGUUUGUUUUCAUGAUGAGUACUUCCCACUUGAUCAGCAACUCCUGAUAGGGCUGGGACAGUCAGUCACAAUGACCUUUUCCAAUUAUAUCAAAGUUAGGCAACCAACUUCAGCUGUUGUUGAUCUACAAUUCACAUUAGUCCUAGUCAGUAUAGAACAGGUGGUAGUGACGGCUGGUUGGAGAUACAAUGCAACAUCUCUAGGGCUGCAGGCUUUUUACCCAUAUUCUAUGUGAUAUACUGAUGUUUUCAGUUCAAAGAAUAAGUGAAAAUAGCCUAUGCAUUAUUCCAACAUACAGUGCCUGUUUUGAAAUAAACAUUCUUAUCCCACAGCUUAUUUAAAUCCACUUGUACUAAGACAGUCGUGCCAAUUUCAUUUGAGAAUUAGAUUUCACUGAUUUUCUAAGUUAACUUGAGUACCUGAAUGUUUUCAGAAUGAGGCGACAUGAAAUGUUUGCAAACUCCUGUUCUGAAUUGUGAACGUGGGUAACCAUGGUAAGAAAAUUUACAUUUUGAAAUUAACAUUUCAAAAUAUCUGCAACAAAGCAUGGCACUGUUGCACAUCAAAGCAGUUUGCUUAUUAGAUGUGCAGGCAGCUAUAUUAUGAAUCACUCAUUUAGCUCUCUUGAAACAAGCACCUUUGGUUUCUUCUAUCAGAUAUGUGAUUUUUAGAACUAUGUGCCUGCUGGAAAUCUGGAUUUCCCCCUUAACUUAAUCUUCUACUUAAUUUCUUCCCAGCUCUACUCUCAGUACACAAAAAAAAAAUCUUUCCUUAGAGGGGCAACUCUGUGUUGCUACCAAAACUAGUUUCUUACACCAUUUCCCAGCUGGAACCCUGUACACAACGAGUGUCAUUGUUACUGCAUUUGGAGUUGCUUGCAUUCAACUAUUUGGCUUUCUACAAGGAAGUGAGUAAAGCUGGUUGGCAUCUGCCUCACUGGAGGAGACAAGGGCUGUUCUCAUUCCUCUCUUAACUGCUUCAAUCAUGCCUUUCCUUUUAAUUAAGUUUGCCUUAUUUCUUGAUCCUAUCAAGGAGAGCCGGUCAGAGCAUGUACCAGCUUGUUCUCAUUUAGCCAUCACACUGUGCCUUGUAAUAAAGUGGCAAUAAAGUCCUAAGAAUGAAAUAUAGCCUAAUACUGGCUUAUUAAUUGUUCUCAUUAUGCAGCACAAUCAUGGAUGG